CGAGAUGUGAAUUUUUCUAUCUGUUUCACGCGAUGUCCUCCAGAAAACUAAUUCUGAUCAGAAAACGUCUUGGUGGUGAAGGUUUCUGAUGGAAUAUUUAAUCUGGUUUUGCUGCAUUCGGUAGCAUGAUCGUUUUAUAAAUUUAUAUAUAUUUUUUUUUUUGGUAACAAUGGAAAACUGAUAACAAAAUAUAAAUAAAAUUACACCAUUUUAGACCCAGUCUAUGAUGAAAUGUG